rnacentral:rRNA from 1 species
CAGUCGCCGCGGGAAUACGGAGGGGGCUAGCGUUGUUCGGAAUUACUGGGCGUAAAGCGCACGUAGGCGGCUUGGUAAGUUAGAGGUGAAAGCCCGGAGCUCAACUCCGGAAUUGCCUUUAAGACUGCCGAGCUAGCAGGUGAGAGAGGUAAGUGGAAUUCCGAGUGUAGAGGUGAAAUUCGUAGAUAUUCGGAAGAACACCAGUGGCGAAGGCGGCUUACUGGCUCAUACUGGACGCUGAGGUGCGAAAGCGUGGGGAGCAAACAGGAUUAGAUACCCGCGUAGUCCCUGUCUCUUAUAA